rnacentral:rRNA from 1 species
UACAGAGGUGGCAAGCGUUGCUCGGAUUUACUGGGCUUAAAGGGCACGUAGGCUGAUGGGUACGCGAGUGGUGAAAUGCCUCGGCUCAACCGAGGAACGGAUGCUCGACCGUCCCGUCUGGAGGAGGACAGGGGCGACUGGAACUCUGGGUGGAGCGGUGAAAUGCGUAGAUAUCCAGGGGAACGCCGAAGGUGAAGACAGGUCGCUGGGUCGUUCCUGACGCUCAGGUGCGAAAGCUAGGGGAGCGAUCGCG